ACGCCCGUAGCUCAAUCGGUUAGAGCUGCCCACUGAAAGGGAAGAUGUGGGUUCAAGUCCCACCGGGCGCA
rnacentral:tRNA from 1 species